rnacentral:rRNA from 1 species
ACGAACGCUGGCGGCGUGCUUAACACAUGCAAGUCGAACGGAAAGGCCCUGCUUUUGUGGGGUGCUCGAGUGGCGAACGGGUGAGUAACACGUGAGUAACCUGCCCUUGACUUUGGGAUAACUUCAGGAAACUGGGGCUAAUACCGGAUAGGAGCUCCUGCUGCAUGGUGGGGGUUGGAAAGUUUCGGCGGUUGGGGAUGGACUCGCGGCUUAUCAGCUUGUUGGUGGGGUAGUGGCUUACCAAGGCUUUGACGGGUAGCCGGCCUGAGAGGGUGACCGGCCACAUUGGGACUGAGAUACGGCCCAGACUCCUACGGGAGGCAGCAGUGGGGAAUAUUGCACAAUGGGCGGAAGCCUGAUGCAGCAACGCCGCGUGCGGGAUGACGGCCUUCGGGUUGUAAACCGCUUUCGCCUGUGACGAAGCGUGAGAGACGGUAAUGGGUAAAGAAGCACCGGCUAACUACGUG